GAUGAACGCUGGCGGCGUGCCUAAUACAUGCAAGUCGAGCGAACGCACGAGAACCUUGCUUCCCUGAUGUUAGCGGCGGACGGGUGAUUAACACGUGGAUAACCUACCUAUAAGACUGGGAUAACUUCAGGAAACCGGAGCUAAUACCGGAUGAUAUUUUGAACCUCAUGGUUCCAAAGUGAAAGACGGUCUUGCUGUCACUAAAAGAUGGCUCCGCGCUUCAUUCGUUAGUUGGUAAGGUAAAGGCUUACCAAGGCAACGAGGCAUAGCCGACCUGAGGGGGUGAUGCGACACACUGGGACUGAGAAACGGUCCAGACUCCUACGCGAGGCAGCAGUAGGGACUCUUCCGCGAUGGGGGAAAGGCUGACGGAGCAACACGGCGUGAGUGAUGAUGCACUACGGAUGGUAAAGCGAUGUUAUUCGGGAGGAAGAAAUGUGUAAGUAACUGUGAACAUCUUGACGGUACCUAAUCAAAAAGCCACGGCUAACUACGUG
rnacentral:rRNA from 1 species